UGGAGCAUGUGGUUUAAUUCGAAGCAACGCGAAGAACCUUACCAGGUCUUGACAUCCCGAUGCUAUUUCUAGAGAUAGAAAGUUACUUCGGUACAUCGGUGACAGGUGGUGCAUGGUUGUCGUCAGCUCGUGUCGUGAGAUGUUGGGUUAAGUCCCGCAACGAGCGCAACCCCUAUUGUUAGUUGCCAUCAUUCAGUUUGGGCACUCUAGCGAGACUGCCGGGUAAUAAACCGGAGGAAGGUGGGAUGACGUCAAAUCAUCAUGCCCCUUAUGACCUGGGCUACACACGUGCUACAAUGGUUGGUACAACGAGUUGCGAGUCGGUGACGGCGAGCUAAUCUCUUAAAGCCAAUCUCAGUUCGGAUUGUAGGCUGCAACUCGCCUACAUGAAGUCGGAAUCGCUAGUAAUCGCGGAUCAGCACGCCGCGGUGAAUACGUUCCCGGGCCUU
rnacentral:rRNA from 1 species